rnacentral:rRNA from 1 species
GCCGCGGUAUUUUGACCGUGCGAAGGUAGCAUAAUCAGUAGCCUUUUAAUUUGGGGCUGGAAUGAAUGGUUGGAUGAGGUAUAAGCUGUCUUUAUUUUAGGGUGUAAUUUAACUUUUAAGUGAGAAGGCUUAAAUUAUGUGGGGGGACGAUAAGACCCUAUAAAACUUUAUAUAAAUAAUUAUAAUUUAAAAAUUUGGUUUUACUUUGAUUAUAAGUGUUUAUAUUUUGUUGGGGAGACAAAAAUAUAAUUUCUAACUGUUUUAAAGAUAUAAUAUUUAUAAGUAGAUUUUGAUCCUUUUUUAUGGAUUAUAAGAAUAAGUUACUUUAGGGAUAACAGUGUAAUUUCUUUUGAGAGUUCUUAUCGACAAAGUUAGUUGCAACCUCGAUGUUGAAUUAAAAUUUUAGGAUGGUGUAGCAGCUUUUCUUGUAGGUCUGUUCGACCUUUAAAAUU